UACGGAGGAUCCAAGCGUUAUCCGGAUUUAUUGGGUUUAAAGGGUGCGUAGGCGGCUCCUUAAGUUAGAGGUGAAAUCCCGUGGCUCAACCACGGAACUGCCUCUGAUACUGGGGAGCUAGCAAGUAGAUGCGGUAGGCGGAAUGUGUGGUGUAGCGGUGAAAUGCUUAGAUAUCACACAGAACACCGAUUGCGAAGGCAGCUUACCAAUCUACAUUGGACGCUGAGGCACGAAAGCGUGGGGAGCAAACAGG
rnacentral:misc_RNA from 1 species